GAUGUGGUAAGUCCGCAACGAGCGCAACCCUCGCCUUAGUUGCCAGCAUUCAGUUGGGCACUCUAGAGGGACUGCCGGUGUCAAACCGGAGGAAGGUGGGGAUGACGUCAAGUCCUCAUGGCCUUUAUGUCUAGGGCUACACACGUACUACAAUGGCCGGUACAAAGGGCAGCCACUCAGCGAUGAGGCGCUAAUCCCAUAAAGCCGGUCUCAGUCCGGAUCGCAGUCUGCAACUCGACUGCGUGAAGUUGGAAUCGCUAGUAAUCGCGGAUCAGCAUGCCGCGGUCGAAUACGUUCCCGGGCCUU
rnacentral:rRNA from 1 species